UCGAGCGAGAACCGUCCCUCGGGACCGGGAAAGGCGCCGAACGGGUGAGUAACACGUGGUAAUCAACCCUCGUACCGGGAUAGCCCGAGAAACNUCGGAUNAAUACCGGAUGGCCCAACAGCUCUUCGGGGCGGUUGGAAAAGGUAGCUUCGGCCUCCAACCGAGGACGAGCCCGCGGCGGAUUAGCUUGUUGGCGGGGUAACGGCCCACCAAGGCGACGAUCCGUAGCUGGUCUGAGAGGACGAUCAGCCACACUGGGACUGAGACACGGCCCAGACUCCUACGGGAGGCAGCAGUGGGGAAUCUUGCACAAUGGGCGCAAGCCUGAUGCAGCGACGCCGCGUGAGGGAAGAAGGCUUUCGGGUUGUAAACCUCUUUCAGGAGGGACGAAGCUACUCGGGUUAAUAGCCCNAGAGGGUGACGGUACCUCCAGAAGAAGCCCCGGCUAACUACGUGCCA
rnacentral:rRNA from 1 species